CUUAGUGGCGGACGGGUGAGUAACGCGUGGGGAACCUGCCCUGCACCGGGGGAUAACACCUGGAAACAGGUGCUAAUACCGCAUAAGCGCACGAGGCCGCAUGGCCAGGUGUGAAAAACUAAGGUGGUGCAGGAUGGACCCGCGUCUGAUUAGCUUGUUGGUAGGGUAACGGCCUACCAAGGCGACGAUCAGUAGCCGGCCUGAGAGGGUGGACGGCCACAUUGGGACUGAGACACGGCCCAGACUCCUACGGGAGGCAGCAG
rnacentral:rRNA from 1 species